rnacentral:rRNA from 1 species
UACGUAGGUGGCAAGCGUUGUCCGGAAUUAUUGGGCGUAAAGAGCGUGUAGGCGGCCAGACAGGUCCGUUGUGAAAACUCGAGGCUCAACCUCGAGAUGUCGAUGGAAACCGUCUGGCUAGAGUCCGGAAGAGGAGUGUGGAAUUCCUGGUGUAGCGGUGAAAUGCGCAGAUAUCAGGAGGAACACCGGUGGCGAAGGCGGGUCUCUGGGCCGAAAUUGACGCUGAGGAGCGAAAGCGUGGGGAGCAAACAGG